rnacentral:rRNA from 1 species
GAUGAACGCUGGCGGCGUGCCUAAUACAUGCAAGUCGAGCGAACAGACGAGGAGCUUGCUCCUCUGACGUUAGCGGCGGACGGGUGAGUAACACGUGGAUAACCUACCUAUAAGCCUGGGAUAACUUCGGGAAACCGGAGCUAAUACCGGAUAAUAUAUUGAACCGCAUGGUUCAAUAGUGAAAGACGGUUUUGCUGUCACUUAUAGAUGGAUCCGCGCCGCAUUAGCUAGUUGGUAAGGUAACGGCUUACCAAGGCAACGAUGCGUAGCCGACCUGAGAGGGUGAUCGGCCACACUGGAACUGAGACACGGUCCAGACUCCUACGGGAGGCAGCAGUAGGGAAUCUUCCGCAAUGGGCGAAAGCCUGACGGAGCAACGCCGCGUGAGUGAUGAAGGUCUUCGGAUCGUAAAACUCUGUUAUUAGGGAAGAACAAAUGUGUAAGUAACUAUGCACGUCUUGACGGUACCUAAUCAGAAAGCCACGGCUAACUACGUG